GCCGAGCGUUAUAAAAACGAGCGUAGCUCGAGAGCUUGGUCGAAUUACGCUUCUCUGCGCGCAAGUGCUUCAUCCUCCGAUCGAGAUCGUUCGGCUCUUCUCUUGGGACUUUCGGACCCCGCCCCAUCAACAGCGAACAUGUCCAGCUCCGGAGACGUCUGCUGCGAAGGCAAGCCCGAGUGCUGCAACGAGACCAGCGAGGUGAAGAACGACGCCGAGCCCAAGGCCGAGGCAGCUGCCCCCGAGGUGCCUGAGGCGGCGCCGGCUCCGGCCGGCGGCGAGAGCGCCGCACCGGCCGACGCUGUGCCGCAGGACGGCGCCAGCUCGUAGCCGCCCGCCGCGGACAAAGCUAACCGCCUCUGCCGCCUCUUCGCCGCUGCUUCGCACCUCUCGCCGCCGCUGCCGCUGCGUAGACCCCCGCCGGCAACCGCCUCGUCCGAUCGGCGAGACCGCCGCGGGUCCUGCCGUUUGGUCUUUUCUGGUCAUCUGAAACUCUCCGCCUUGCCUUACCGGAAGUAUUGGACCGUAGGGAUGCCCUGACUGUUGAUCGGACACUGCAAUUCUGCCCGCAAUGUCGCCAUCCCAUUCCUUCCGCUUCCUUCACGCCGUCUAAAAGCCAAGCCUACGCAACCGAAACAAGCCAGUCCUCGCACCACGAUCAAUUCAUCCGUACGAAAACGUUAUUCCUUUUGUAUGCUGACCGAAAUUGACACUGUCGACGACGGCAAGCAAACGGCCAGCUACCAUGUCAGUACUGUCCGCAGUCGACCGAAACCAUCCAAGCCGCUCGUGGGCCUGAUUUCGCUCCGCUUGUCACCGGAAGGGUUGACUCGGCAGGAGAGGGGGUUGAACAACAACGAAGCUAUAAAAGCAGCAGGCGGGAGCUGCGGAGCGGUGCAAACGCGAGUCAGAGUUGAUUCCUAAGAUAUAAAAAAAAGUGAAACGAAAACGCGCGGAGCGCCCACUUAUCCUAUAUGCUAUAUAUUUAUGUAAUAAAAGCAUUCAGCUCGUGUAUACACAGCUGGCGACAAAAAAAAUGACAAAAAAAUCAUAAAAAUGAGAGAAAGGAGAAGAUAGAGGCGGUGCGCCCUCUUCUUUUUUUUUGUACAUUUCUGAGAAUAAAAUAAAAAUAAACCCCAAAA
rnacentral:lncRNA from 1 species